rnacentral:rRNA from 1 species
GUGAAUCAUCGAAUCUUUGAACGCACAUUGCGCCCCCUGGCAUUCCGGGGGGCAUGCCUGUCCGAGCGUCAUUU